rnacentral:rRNA from 1 species
GACGAACGCUGGCGGCGUGCUUAACACAUGCAAGUCGAACGGAAAGGCCCUGCUUUUGUGGGGUGCUCGAGUGGCGAACGGGUGAGUAACACGUGAGUAACCUGCCCUUGACUUUGGGAUAACUUCAGGAAAAUGGGGCUCAUACCGGAUAGGAGCUCCUGCUGCAUGGUGGGGGUUGGAAAGUUUCGGCGGUUGGGGAUGGACUCGCGGCUUAUCAGCUUGUUGGUGGGGUAGUGGCUUACCAAGGCUUUGACGGGUAGCCGGCCUGAGAGGGUGACCGGCCACAUGGGGACUGAGAUACGGCCCAGACUCCUACGGGAGGCAGCAGUGGGGAAUAUUGCACAAUGGGCGGAAGCCUGAUGCAGCAACGCCGCGUGCGGGAUGACGGCCUUCUGGUUGUAAACCGCUUUCGCCUGUGACGAAGCGGGAGUGACGGUAAUGGGUAAAGAAGCACCGGCUAACUACGUG